rnacentral:rRNA from 1 species
AGUGAACGCUGGCGGUAGGCCUAACACAUGCAAGUCGAACGGCAGCACAGUAAGAGCUUGCUCUUACGGGUGGCGAGUGGCGGACGGGUGAGGAAUACAUCGGAAUCUACUUUUUCGUGGGGGAUAACGUAGGGAAACUUACGCUAAUACCGCAUACGACCUACGGGUGAAAGCAGGGGAUCUUCGGACCUUGCGCGAUUGAAUGAGCCGAUGUCGGAUUAGCUAGUUGGCGGGGUAAAGGCCCACCAAGGCGACGAUCCGUAGCUGGUCUGAGAGGAUGAUCAGCCACACUGGAACUGAGACACGGUCCAGACUCCUACGGGAGGCAGCAGUGGGGAAUAUUGGACAAUGGGCGCAAGCCUGAUCCAGCCAUACCGCGUGGGUGAAGAAGGCCUUCGGGUUGUAAAGCCCUUUUGUUGGGAAAGAAAAGCAGCAAGUUAAUACCCCGCUGUUCUGACGGUACCCAAAGAAUAAGCACCGGCCAACUUCGUG